CAGGACGAACGCUGGCGGCGUGCCUAACACAUGCAAGUCGAGCGAGGAGAUCCUUCGGGAUGAUCCUAGCGGCGGACGGGUGAGUAACACGUGGGCAACCUGCCUCAUAGAGAGGAAUAGCCUUCCGAAAGGGAGAUUAAUACCUCAUAACAUUGCAGUUUCGCAUGAAACAGCAAUUAAAGGGGCAAUCCGCUAUGAGAUGGGCCCGCGGCGCAUUAGCUAGUUGGUGAGGUAACGGCUCACCAAGGCGACGAUGCGUAGCCGACCUGAGAGGGUGAUCGGCCACAUUGGGACUGAGACACGGCCCAGACUCCUACGGGAGGCAGCAGUGGGGAAUAUUGCACAAUGGGGGAAACCCUGAUGCAGCAAACCGCCGCAUGAGUGAUGACGGCCUUCGGGUUGUAAAGCUCUGUCUUCAGGGACGAUAAUGACGGUACCUGAGGAGGAAGCCACGGCUAACUACGUGCCAGCAGCUGC
rnacentral:rRNA from 1 species